rnacentral:rRNA from 1 species
UAAUUUUUAUAAAUAAAUAAAUUUAAAAUAAUAAUUUACUUGGUCCUUUCGUACUAAAAUAAAUAAAAAAUAUUAAGAUAGAAACCAAUCUGGCUCACACCGAUUUGAACUCAAAUCAUGUAAGAAUUUAAAAGUCGAACAGACUUAAAAUUUGAAGUACUGCCCCCAAAAUUAAUCUUAAUUCAACAUCGAGGUCGCAAACUUCAAUAUAAAUAAGAACUUUCCAUUAAAAUUACGCUGUUAUCCCUAAGGUAACUUUUUCUUAAACCAUUCAUUAUGAAUCAAUUAUUUAAUCUUAAAUAAAAGAAAAUUAAAAAUAAAGAUUAAAUUUAAUUAUCACCCCAAUAAAAUUUAAAACAGAAAAUUAAAAUAAUUUAAAUUUCAAUAAACUAAUCUUAAAAAUAGUUCUUUAGGGUCUUUUCGUCCCAAAUAUAUUAUUUAGCUUUUUUACCAAAAAAUUAAAUUUAAAUAAUAUAAUUCAUUAAAACUAAUCCCUCAUUUAUUCAUUCAUACAAGCCCUUAAUUAAAAGACUAAUUAUUAUGCUACCUUUGUACAGUUAAAAUACUGCAGCCAUUUAAAUUAUCAUAGAGCAGAACUUACUUUUAAUUAAAACUAAAAGAAAUGUUUUUGAUAAACAGUUGAGAAUUAAAUAUGUUGAAUUCAAUAUAAGUAUAUAAAAAUCCUACUAAUUAAAUCAUUAUUAAAAUUAUAACAAAAUUAUUUAAAUAUAUUCUAUAAUUAUAUAAACUAAAAAAAAUCAAAUAAAAAUAAAAUAAUUUAUUAAAAACUAAAUACAAAAUUUAAAAGUUAAUUUAAAUAUAAAAAAUUAAGUUGUAUAAAAAUAUAAAGAUUAUCCCUUAUAAAAUAAAAUUAAAAUAUAAUAAUAAAAAAAUUAAAUAAUUUAAAAUUAAAUUUAAUCUAGAAUAGCCAGAUAUAAAUUGAAAACGAAUAACUUUUAAUUACAAAAAUAAGAUUUUAAAAAUUUUUUAAAACAAAUAUAAUAAAACUUAAUUAAAUAACUCAAAUUCGGGAUAUUAAAAUAACUUAAUUAAUAAAUUUACCCUAAUACAAAAGGUACAAACCUUUAAAAAUUAAUUUUUAAAAUAAAUAUCAAACAAAAAUUUAAAUAAAUUAAUUAAAAUUUUAAUCAAACUAAAAAUUAGUAAAAAAAAUAAAUAAACUAAA